UCUUUGCAAGAAAAAACUCUAAACAAAAAAGAAAUCAAUUUUACUUAGAGAGAAAAAAAAAAAGCAGCUCAAAUGGCUUAUUUCUGUUCAGAAAAUUUAAUUCUCUUUUUCAUUUCAAUCUUCUGUUCCAUAUGUUUUUCUUCUUCUACUCCUUUUAUAGUAUUGCAUGGACUUGGACAAUCUUGCAAUGAUGCAGGAAGUACAUUUUACACAUCACAACUUAGUCUCUUGUCGAGAUCUAAUGGUUACUGCCUAGAAAUUGGAAAUGGAGCUUAUGAUUCCUACACUAUGCCUCUAGAAAAUCAGGUUCAAAUUGCUUGUGAAAAGGUGAAAGCAAUGAAAGAACUACAACAAGGAUACAAUUUAGUUGGUCUCUCACAGGGAAAUAUGGUAGCCAGAGGGCUUAUAGAGUUUUGUGAUGAAGCACCUCCGGUAAAGAAUUUUAUCUCAAUUGGUGGACCUAAUGCUGGCGUUGCUUCUACGACCUGUGCUGGUGGCCCUUGGUGUGCUGGAACUGGUGGUGUCUCUGGAGUUGGAAUAUAUUCUGACUAUGUUCAAACUCAUUAUGCUCCUAGUGGCUAUAUUAAGCUUCCAAAUGAUAUUGCUGGAUAUUUGAAAGGUUGUAGAUAUCUACCAAAGCUUAAUAAUGAAAUUCCUGGAGCAAAUAAUUCUAUUUACAAACAACGUUUCACUAGCUUGCAGAACCUUGUUCUUAUCAUGUUUGCAAAUGAUGGUGUGAUAACUCCCACAGAAAGUUCUUGGUUUGGCUUUUAUCAAGAUGGAACCUACUCCAAAGUUUUGCCACCACAACAGACUAAUAUUUAUAUAGAGGAUUUGUUUGGAUUACAAACAUUGGAUAAAGCUGCAAAAAUAAAAUUCAUAAAGGUACCAGGAUAUCAUUUGGGAAUGGAUAUUCAAGAGCUGCAACAGUAUGUUGUCCCAUAUUUGAUUAAUGGAGCACCAAAGAAUAAAGUUGCUACUCAAGUGGUUCAUUGAUUAGAAAAAUUCUUGUUGAGGACAAUAGAGAGAAAUUGGAAAUGGAGCACACGAUUCCGUCCAUAUGCCUCUAGAAAAACAGGUUCAAAUUGCUUGUGAAAAGGUAAUAAUCCUCCACAACGUGCAUUGUUCUCUCUCUCUUUUUUUUUGGAAAUUUCUUUUACUAUAAAAAUAUUAAAUAAAUUAAAAAAGAAGAAAGAAGAAACAUAUAGAGAGGUUUGUGAAUUGAAUUAUAUAUAGGUGAAGGGGAUGAAGGAACUUCAACAAGGUUACAAUUUAGUUGGUCUUUCACAGGUAAAUAUUCAUCUAUAAUCAUAAAUAAUCGCCCCCACCCGCCACACUCACCCAUCCCGCCGUCAUCUGUCGUCUUCAAUAUUGCCCAUGUAUGGAUUCUUCAUUUUUGGGUCUCAAAUUUCAACAUAAACUAGCUAAAUUCAUAUCAAUCAAACUCAAAUUUUAACUACAACUUCACAACAUCAUUAGAAAAUCUCAAUAAUCAAUUUGGAAUCAACCAUAAAUUCAAUAAACUCAUUUUUUUUUGUCUUUAAACUUUUUUAAAGGUUCAAUAAUGGUGAAUACAAAAUUAAACUAGCAAAAUUCAUACCAAUCAAACUCAAAUUUCAAAUACAACUUUACAACAUCAUCAGAAAACUUCAAUAAUCAAUUUCGACAUCAAUCUCAUCUUGAAUUCGCCGAACUCAUGUUUUUUGUCUUCAGGCUUUUUCAAGCUUCAACAAUGGCAGAUACAAAAUUAAACAAGUAAAAUUCAUACCAAUCAAACUUAAAAUUCAAGUACAACUUCACAUCAUCAUCGGAAAACCCCAAUAAUCAAUUUGAACAUCAACCAUGAAUUUUACACUCAUUUUUUUUUGUCUUCAAGCUUUUUCAAGAUUCAAUAAUGGUGGAUACAAAAGGCAAUCUCAUAAAUCCAACAACAGAUUUCUUGAAAAUUCACAUAAAUAAUUUAGUUCAACAAUCAUGUAUUGAAAGACUUUCUUUUCCAAAAUUAUUUUCUAACUCAUUAAAAUUCAUAACUUUUCACACACAUUUUUUUUCUUUCUUGAAGAAAUUAAUGAAGAUAAUAGAAGUGGAGAUGGAGAGUUAGAAGAAGAGAAAGGAAAUUGAGGUGGGGUGUAAGAAGAAAUACAAGAAAAUGGAAUGGAGUGAGGAGUGGUGCGGGAGGCUUAUGAAGAAGAUGAAGAUUGGGUGGUGUGAGAGGUAAUGGGUGAGUUUCUUAUAUAUAUAGAGAGAUAUAGAUAUAGAUAUAUAUAAGUGGGACCAUAUUAGUUUUUAAUAGAAAACGUGUUGUUUUUUUCUUUUUUUUAAAAAAAAAAUUCACGUCAGCUUGAGGGGUGAAAUUAAUACGUUUUAAAGAUGUUAAAGAGGAUAAAUAAAUGAAAGAUAAAUUUAAGUGUUAAAGUGAAUUUGGAGGACAAUUACAGGGAAAACAUGUCUUUUCUCGAGUAUUAAUUAUAGGUGAAUCUCAAAGAUAGUAAUUUGGUAUGAUCUCUUCGGAAUGACCACUAACUGUUGACUUAAACUAAAGUAAUAGACUAAGGGCUCGUUUGAUAGAGUGUAUAAGAUAAUAUUGAAUAGGUUGUAUUAGUAAUGUUGGGAUUAGUAGUGCAGGGAUUAGUAAUACUGGGAUUAUUUUUUAUGCAGUGUUUGGUUUGAUGUACUGAAAACAAUAUGUAUUGUUAUAUUUUAAAAAGAAUAUUGUAUGUUUACAAAAAUACCCUUUGACAUAUUAUAACUUUAUCUAUUCUUUGCAAAAAAAAUUUUUUAAAAAAAUAAAAAAAAAAGUAAAAAUAUAACUAAUUAUUUACUUUGGAAUUUUAAGAUUCAAUCAUUCACUUAUAUAUAUAUUUUUUGUUAUCUUUUCUUUAUUUGUUCAUCAUUUUUUUGUUGUUUCCAUUUUGUGAUGUUCUUACGUUGGAGGAAGAUACGUGUAACUCUUGAACAAGACAAUAGAAUUAUUAUUGAUAUAAAUUUGUGUUCUGUAGAGUGCAUGGCUAAGUAGAAAAAAAUUAUUUUUAUUUAUGAUAUUCUAUUUACAAAAUUAA